rnacentral:lncRNA from 1 species
UUUGAUGAGCCCAGACUGCCCUAGAACUCACAGAGACCUUCUUGCCUCUGCCUCCAGAGUGCUGGGAUUACAGGGCUGGUCCACCACAGUCAGCUUGUUUAGUGUCCUAAAAAAAAAAAAAAAGUCUUAUAUUAGCCUACAUCUUCUAAAUUCUUGUGCGACCAGAGCUGGCCACAUACUGUGUUCUACAAGAAGUGAAGUUUGCCAGCUCCAGGCCUGGCCUGCAGAUCAACCCCCCAUGUUCUCUCCCGCUACUCACCCAGAUGGAGAGGGUCCCCCAGGAACUCUAGGUUCUGAAGGUAACAGACAUGCUUGUGGGAAGAAACGUGGGAGCCUGAAUGUCUAUGUGGAGCAGAGCCUCCUCAUUAACUGACACGAUGGCUCAAGAGAAGCAAGUUUGUGUUUGAGUUGUCUGUUACCACAGCUAGUUCAUCUGUGGCAACGAUGCGUCUCCCAUGUCUGUGGAAGCUUUUACCUCCUUCAAAUUCUCUCCCCUCAUUAACUCAACAAAAGGGUCA